rnacentral:rRNA from 1 species
AGAGUUUGAUCAUGGCUCAGGACGAACGCUGGCGGCGUGCUUAACACAUGCAAGUCGAACGGUGAAGCCCUUCGGGGUGGAUCAGUGGCGAACGGGUGAGUAACACGUGGGCAAUCUGCCCUGCACUCUGGGACAAGCCCUGGAAACGGGGUCUAAUACCGGAUAUGACCUGUCUCCGCAUGGGGACGGGGUGGAAAGCU